rnacentral:piRNA from 1 species
UAAACUUUACAGGCUCUUGGUUACUCUCU